rnacentral:rRNA from 1 species
AUUGAACGCUGGCGGCAUGCCUUACACAUGCAAGUCGAACGGCAGCACGGGUGCUGGCACCUGGUGGCGCGUGGCGAAGGGGUGUGUAAUCCAUCGGAACAUGUCCUGUAGUGGGGGAUAGCCCGGCGAAAGCCGGAUUAAUACCGCAUACGCUCUGCGGGUGAGAGCGGGGGACCUUGGGGCCUCGCGCUAUGGGGUUGGCCGAUGGCGGAUUAGCUAGUUGGUGGGGUAAAGGCCUACCAAGGCGACGAUCAGUAUCUGGUCUGAGAGGAAGACCAGCCACACUGGGACUGAGACACGGCCCAGACUCCUACGGGAGGCAGCAGUGGGGAAUUUUGGACAAUGGGCGAAAGCCUGAUCCAGCAAUGCCGCGUGUGUGAAGAAGGCCUUCGGGUUGUAAAGCACUUUUGUCCGGAAAGAAAUCCUUGGCCCUAAUACGGUCGGGGGAUGACGGUACCGGAAGAAUAAGCACCGGCUAACUACGUG